UCCUAUUACUGCAUUAAAAAAUCGUGAACCAGUGCACCGGAAACGUGACUGGUUAGCUGUUCACGUGUUUGCGCAUCCUUAAACCCUGACUUCCGUUUAGGAACCAGACGAUAUCAGGGCAUGGUUUGUUUACUAUGAAUGAACCAGUGUACAUUCCAAAUACCAGAAAUGCCCUCAAAGUCGGGCAAAAAAGAACAAAAUAACAAUUUACAUUUGUUUUUAAUAAUUAAAAACAUGUAUACUGCUUUCAUCAAUUGCAUAUUUCACUUAAUACAAAUCUUUGUCUGUCAGAUGUAUGUUUAUAGGGUUGAUACAUAUAAAAAAGAUGUGUGGUGUUUGCCAAUGAGAUGAUUUUUCAUAAAGAGACCAAAUGACACAGAAAUUAAUAACUAUUGAUCACUGUACAGCCUUCUUCAAUGAGCAAAGCCCAUACCGCAUAAGCUAUAAAAGGCCCCAAAAUGACAAAUGUAAAACAAUUUACGUGAGAAAACAAACAGCCUAAUUAAAUGUAAAAAAAUGUACUAAAAAAAAUUAACAAAUAUGUAACACACCAACAAACAAUAUUAAACCACUGAAUUACAGGCUCCUGACAGUAAAUUUCUGUUUAUACUUUUAAAUACUGUCUGAUAUGCUCUGUCCUUAUAGGUGUUGACAUGCAAUAUGCUCUUAGAUUUGCCUUUGUCUUUUAAUAUUGACUUGUUCUAUGUGAUGUGUUUUUGUUGUCGCAUUUAUUAAUUCCACAAAACCUACAAAAGAUGCUGAAUAAAAGGUAUUAUCAAAAGGCUUUUCAAGUUUUACAGAACUAUAAAUAAGUCUUUUCAAUCAAAUUUAAAUUAUUUUUUUUUUCCUCCUACCCUAUUUUUUUGUGGCUGAUAUCCGUAAACCAAGUAAAAAAACAAAAACUGGAAAGAUCUAGUUUAAAUUUAUUUUUUCCCCUCCUCCUACCCGAAGUUUUUUGGGCUGAUGUCCGUAAACCAACUUAUUAAAUAAAAACGGCCUAAGCAACUUUAAUCAAUAGUUUGAAACAAUCCAUAAAAAAUAUAGGGAAUUAUAUACAACAAUCAAUUAGAUGUAACCAAAAGUCUCUUAAUGCGUGUGGAAUGCGUAAUUUUUCCCUUUGGGAUCAAUAUUCUUCUGUCAGCUGUUCCAUCCGUGCGUCCGUAGUAA
rnacentral:lncRNA from 1 species